GGGUGGGCGAGUUCGGUAUGGGUGGUGGCGCCGAGCGCGUCGGUCACGUACUCGCGCAGGACCCCGUAGCCGCCGUCGUCGACCCACAGGUCACCCGAACAGUCGAAUCCCACAUGCGUCCCACAAAACGCCUGACCAUCUGUCAGCUGAGCGCUAAGUUGCAGGUCAAACGGGGUCUGAGCUAUACGCAAUGGGCGCCUCCUAAACGCUUGUCCGCAGGUUCGAGUCCUGCCCGGGGCACCA
rnacentral:tRNA from 1 species